rnacentral:misc_RNA from 1 species
AUGGUUCGACCGGAAGACUUCAAUUCAUUGGAGCUUGAUAACUCACUUACCGAUGGAGAAACCGUCCACGAGAUGAUGGCUCACAAGGCUGGACUGACAUACAAUGACUUCAACAUUCUUCCUGGAUUUAUCAAUUUCGGAGUGCACGACGUCAGCUUGGAGACCAACAUCACGAAAGAUCUUAAAAUUAAAGCACCACUUGUUUCAUCUCCAAUGGACACUGUAACUGAAAGUGGAAUGGCUAUCGUUAUGGCGCUUUACGGUGGAAUUGGUAUUAUUCACGGAAAUUUCCCAAAGCCGGAAGAUCAAGCCGCUGAAGUUCUCAAAGUGAAAAGAUUCAAGCAAGGAUACGUGAUGCAACCACAUUGUCUCAGUCGUGACUCGACUGCGUUUGAUAUGAUUCAAAUUAAAAAGAAGUAUGGUUAUACUGGAGCACCGGUUACUGAAGAUGGACGAGUUGGUAGCAAACUCAUUGGAAUGGUUACAUCUCGCGAUUUUGACUUUAUUACAAUGGACGUAGCCGGUCAAAAAGGUACCCCAAUUUCCGAUAUCAUGGUCUCUGUUGAUCAACUUCAUUUGGGACACAUCAAUGACGCUCCAGAACUUUCACAGAAGAAACUCAAGGAGCACAGACUUGGAAAGUUGCCAAUUGUCAAUGACAAUGGUGAACUGUGCGCUUUGCUGUGCAGAUCUGAUUUGUUGAAGGCUCGUGACUAUCCAAUGGCUUCAUACGACUCUAAGGGGCAAUUGCUCUGCGGAGCUGCAGUUAACACUCGCGGAGAAUCUCAAUACACAGUUGAUCGUGUCGUUGAAGCUGGUGUUGAUGUUCUUAUCAUUGAUUCAUCAAAUGGAUCAUCCACAUACCAAAUUUCGAUGCUCAGAUACAUCAAGGAGAAACAUCCACAUGUUCAAGUUAUCGCUGGAAACGUUGUUACACGAGCUCAAGCUAAGCUUCUCAUUGAUCAAGGAGCUGAUGGUCUUCGUAUUGGAAUGGGAAGUGGAUCGAUUUGUAUCACACAAGAUGUUAUGGCUGUUGGACGUGCUCAAGGAACUGCUGUCUAUGAUGUUGCUCGUUACGCCAAUCAACGUGGUAUUCCAAUUGUUGCAGAUGGUGGAAUUCGUGAUGUUGGAUACAUUACAAAAGCCAUCUCACUUGGAGCAUCAGCUGUUAUGAUGGGCGGUCUUCUUGCUGCUACCACUGAAGCGCCAGGAGAAUAUUUCUGGGGACCGGGAGGUGUUCGUGUGAAGAAAUACAGAGGAAUGGGUUCACUGGAUGCCAUGGAAGCUCAUGCUUCAAGUCAAGAUCGUUAUUUCACUGCGCAUGUUUUUUUUUCGAUUUUAUCUUAUUUUUAAGUCAUUUAAUUUCAGUGAAUCUGAUCAGAUUAAAGUGGCUCAAGGAGUUUCCGCCACCAUGAAAGAUCGUGGAUCAUGUCAUAAAUUCAUCCCAUACCUCAUUCGUGGUGUUCAACAUGGAAUGCAAGACAUUGGUGUUCGCUCUCUCCGUGAUUUCCGUGAGAAAGUCGACAAUGGAAUCGUGAAAUUUGAGAGACGUUCGACAAACGCUCAACUGGAGGGAGGCGUUCAUUCGUUGCACUCGUUCGAAAAGCGUCUCUACUAA